rnacentral:rRNA from 1 species
GUAGGGUGCAAGCGUUAAUCGGAAUUACUGGGCGUAAAGGGUGCGCAGGCGGCUCCGCAUGUCGGGCGUGAAAUCCCCGGGCUUAACCUGGGAAUUGCGUCCGAAACUAUGGAGCUGGAGUGUGGCAGAGGGAGGUGGAAUUCCACGUGUAGCGGUGAAAUGCGUAGAGAUGUGGAGGAACACCGAUGGCGAAGGCAGCCUCCUGGGCCAACACUGACGCUCAUGCACGAAAGCGUGGGGAGCAAACAGGAUUAGAUACCCUGGUAGUCCACGCCCUAAACGAUGAUGACUAGUUGUUGGAGGAGUUAAAUCCUUUAGUAACGCAGCUAACGCGCGAAGUCAUCCGCCUGGGGAGUACGGUCGCAAGAUUA